AACUGAUACUACCUGCGGGAACCUGCGGAGGGAUCAUUAUCGUAUUACAAUCGGGGAGGCUCGGGGCGGCCCUGCACCGGCGGAAACGCCGUGCUGCGGGCUCCCGGCCGACCCUUCCAAACCAAACCCCUGUGCACCUCUGGGAAGGCGUCCCGCUAGGGACGUCGGCCCCUUUUCUCACAAGCUCUUUGUAUCUUGCUCAGAAUGACCGCGGACAUCGUCCGUCUAAAACAAAUAACA
rnacentral:misc_RNA from 1 species